AUGCCAUGGUGUGGACAUUCCCUCUGCAGGUCUUUAUAUCUUUCCCAUGCGUCAUAAAGUAAUUCUCCUUCCUUUUGUCUAAAGGUGUUGAACUCUAGCCUCAGUUU